AUCUACGGCCAUGCCACCCUGAACAAGCCCGAUCCCGUCUGAUCUCGGAAGCUAAGCAGGGUAAGGCCUGGUUAGUUCUUGGGUGGGAGACCACUUAGGAAGACCAGGUGCAGUAGGCA
rnacentral:rRNA from 1 species